AUACCGGAGUUCUUUAACUCCAUCUAUAUAAUUAAAUUAAAAACAU
rfam:Helianthus annuus linkage group 11, whole genome shotgun sequence.